rnacentral:tRNA from 2 species
GGAAGGGUGGCAGAGUGGUCGAUUGCAGCGGUCUUGAAAACCGCCGUGCGGGCAACCGUACCGUGGGUUCGAAUCCCACCCCUUCCGCCA